rnacentral:rRNA from 1 species
AUGAUUACGUCUGGGAUUAAAUUUCCACAGAAAUAUUUGUGGAAAAUCAAAGUCCCUGCCAAAAUAAAAGUCUUCUUGUGGCUAGUGAAUAAAAAAAGCAUCUUAACUAGGGAUGUUUUACUUAAAAGGGGGUGGAAAGGAGGAAAAGAAUGUGUUUUUUGUGGACAAAAUGAAUCAAUUGAUCACUUGCUGUUCAAUUGUUCUGCGGCAUCCUUGCUGUGGAGCUUGGUCAGAUGUGUGUGUGGCUUGAAAACUAAUCCUUUAAAUGUGAAAGAUUGUUUUGGGGGAUGGAUAAACAAAUUCAAUAAGGAAGACAAGAAAAUGGUGCUGAUUGGUGUCUCUUCUUUAUUCUGGGCUAUUUGGAAAAGCAGAAAUGCAACUGUCUUUGAGAAAAAAAGGAUUAAUGAUCCUUUGCAGAUUAUCAAACUAAUGGUCCGAUGGUUGCUUGAUUGGUCUAUUUUGCAGACAAAGGAGCCGCCAAAAAAAUGCUGGAACUGGGGGCAAGAAUACUAG